UAAUAAGUUACAAAGGGCUUAUGGUGGAUGCCUUGGGACUGAUUGACGAAGAAGGUCGUGCCAAUCUGCGAUAAGGUACGGGGAGCCGAUAAGGGGCUACAAUCCGUACAUGACCGAAUGAGGCAACUCAUCUAAUAGAGAUAUUAGAUAUCAUUAACUGAAUUCAUAGGUUAAUGAAGUGAUACCCGCUGAAGUGAAACAUCUCAGUAGGCGGAGGAAAAGAAAACAACGUGAUUCCGUAAGUAGUGGCGAACGAAAGCGGAACAGGCCAAACCAGCUUUAGAGCUGGGGUUAUAGGGCUACAAUGUGGACUUAGAUUAGAUAGGAGAACAAGUUGGGAAGCUUGGCAACACAGGGUGAUAGCCCCGUAUCCGAAAUCUAAUUUAUACCUAGUAGUACCCUGAGUACGUCGAAACACGUGAAAUUUUGACGGAAUUUACCGCGACCAUGCGGCAAGCCUAAAUACACAUCAGUCACCGAUAGCGAAUAGUACCGUGAGGGAAAGGUGAAAAGAACCCAGUGAUGGGAGUGAAAUAGAAUCUGAAACCAUAAGCCUACAACGAGUUAGAGCCCAUUAAUGGGUGAUAGCGUGCGUUUUGAAGUAUGAGCCGGCGAGUUAUUGUUGCAUGCAAGGUUAAGCUGUAGAAGUGGAGCCGUAGCGAAAGCGAGUCUGAAUAGGGCGUUUAGUAUGUAGCAAUAGACCCGAAACGGGAUGAUCUAGUUAUGAGCAGGUUGAAGGUAGAGUAACAUCUAUUGGAGGACCGAACCCACUUUCGUUGAAACGACAGGGGAUGACUCGUGACUAGCGGUGAAAUUCCAAUCGAAUUCCGUGAUAGCUGGUUCUCGUCGAUAUAAUUUUAGGAUUAGCGUUAGAUUAUUGAAUGUGUGGAGGUAAAGCUCUGACUGAUUGAUGGCGCCAUCUCGGCGUACUGAUUUCAAUUAAACUCUGAAUGCCAUACAUUUUAUUCUAGCAGUCAGACUGUGGGGGAUAAGCUUCAUAGUCGUGAGGGAAAGAGCCCAGAUCAUUUGCUAAGGUCCCUAAAUUACACUAAGUGGAAAAGGAUGUUGGAGGUCUCAGACACCAAGGAUGUUGGCUUAGAAGCAGCCAUCGUUUAAAGAGUGCGUAACAGCUCACUUGUCGAGAUCUCCUGCGCCGAAGAUUCAACGGGGCUAAGUGUAAUACCGAAGCAAUGGAUAUCGCAAGAUAUGGUAGACGAGCGUUGUAUACGGCGAUGAAGGUAAAUCGUGAGGAUUACUGGAGUGUAUACAAGUGAGAAUGCCGGCGUGAGUAACGAAUGAAAGUGAGAAUCUUUCAAGCCGAAUUGACUAAGAUUUCCAGGACUAGGGUCGUCCUUCCUGGGUUAGUCGGUGCCUAAAGCGAGGCCGAGAGGCGUAGCUGAUGGAAAACAAGUUAAUAUUCUUGUACCUAGUAUAUGAAUGAUGGAGUAACGGAGAAGGUUAAUACAGACCAGUUAAUGGAUUCUGGCUCAAGUAACAAGUUUGAAGAGUUGGCAAAUCCGCUCUUUUUAAUUAAGAACAAGUUAUGAACAGUAAUGAAAACUUCGGUAAGUAAAUAAACUGUAUACAUCACGCUUCCAAGAAAAACUUCUAGUGUUAAUCAUAUAUUAGACCGUAUUGAGAACGAACACACGUGGUCAAGGAGAAUAUCCUAAGGCUAGCGAGUUAACUAUUGUUAAGGAACUCUGCAAAUUAGCCCCGUAAGUUAGCGAUAAGGGGUGCUCAAUUUUGAGCCACAGUAAAGAGCGAGUGGGAACUGUUUAUCAAAAACACAGCUUUAUGCUAAGUCGUAAGACGAUGUAUAUGAGGUGACGCCUGCCCAGUGCUGGAAGGUUAAGGAAGUGGGUUAGUCGCAAGACAAAGCUCGUGACCGAAGCCCCAGUGAACGGCGGCCGUAACUAUAACGGUCCUAAGGUUCCAGCCCGUUGGACAAAAAAAUGACGGGAUCGAAGCCUUAUUAAAACUUAACUAAAUGCUGGAAAAUCCGGCGUAUAUCAUGUUACUUUUAUUAAGAAUGACCGAAAUAAAACUGAAAAUAUUCAGAAAAAAUUCGGAACAAGUUUUUAAGAAAUUUGCAGUACUAUAGUGUGCUAUGAAUGAUAAAGUAAAAAUACAUGAUUGCGGACAAUCAGCAGGAAAGACUGUUGUUACUGAAAAUGAAAAAUGAUUUUUAGCUGGUGUAAUUGAAGGCGAAGGUUCAUUUUGUGCAUCAAUCAAGCACUACAAAUAUAAAAAUAGAUUGAUUACCACAAUUGAUCCAGAAUUCUUCAUCUAUCAGCAUCAGAUACGAAGAGGGUUAUUAGAAAUCGCUCUUAAAGUAUUCGGUGUUGGUCGCAUCAGACCAAAGUUUGGCAAUGAGAGUGUACUUGAAUAUCAAGUUACUUCUACAAAACAGAUUUACGAAAUCAUCAUUCCUUUUCUAAAUCAAUAUAUGCGGUACUCCUUUCGAAAAAGUGAUAUUGACAAGUUCAAACAAAUCACCGAUGCGGUUUAUCAUAAACAGCAUCUGACGAAAGAAGGACGUAUUAAAUUGGUUGAUCUAGCUUACAGUAUGAAUAUGAAUGGCAAAAACCGUCGUAUUCCUAAAGCAGAUGUAAUUAACAGAAUCCUCAGAGACUACACGUUAAGCACAUAAUCAAAUAUGUGAAGAUAUAGUCCGAACCCUAUGGCGACAUAGGGAUGUUAGUAGAAAUACUAACACAAUACCAUGCGAAUGGUAUGAGUAACAAUCUUGAGCGAAAUUCCUUGUCGGGCAAAUUCCGUCCCGCUUGAAUGGCGUAAUCAUCUCUUGACUGUCUCGACAAUAGACUCGGUGAAAUCCUGGUGUGGGUGAAGACGCCCACUUGGUGUGAUUGGACGGAAAGACCCCAUGAAGCUUUACUGUAACUUAAUAUUGAAAAAAUAUCUUGUAUUUAGAGCAUAGGCGGGAGACUUUGAAACAGCGACGCUAGUUGCUGCGGAGUCACCACUGUAAUACCGCCAUUGCAAUAUGUUUUUUCUAACUUCCACCAGUGAUCCUGGUGCAGGACAGUGUUAGGCGGGCAGUUUGACUGGGGCGGUCGCCUCCCAAAAUGUAACGGAGGCGCGCAACGGUACCCUCAGCACGGUUGGAAAUCGUGCCCUGAGCGUAAUGGUAUAAGGGUGCUUGACUGCGAGGCUUACUAGCCGAGCAGGUAAGAAAUUAGGUCAUAGUGAUCCGGUGGUUCCGAAUGGAAGGGCCAUCGCUCAACGGAUAAAAGCUACUCUGGGGAUAACAGGCUGAUACUAUCCAAGAGUUCAUAUCGACGAUAGUGUUUGGCACCUCGAUGUCGACUCAUCUCAUCCUGGGGCUGUAGUAGGUCCCAAGGGUUCGGCUGUUCGCCGAUUAAAGAGAUACGUGAGUUGGGUUCAAACCGUCGUGAGACAGGUUGGUCCCUAUCUGUCAUACCCGUAGGAAGAUUGAGAAGAGCUGCUCCUAGUACGAGAGGAUCGGAGUGGAGAUACCUCUAAUGUUUCAGUUGUCAUGCCAAUGGCACAGCUGGGUAGUUACGUAUCGAACGGAUAAACGCUGAAAGCAUAUAAGCGUGAAGCCGCCUUCAAGAUAAAUCUUCCCGCCUCGCAAGAGGUUAAGAAUCGUUGUAGACUACAACGUUGAUAGGUUAGAGUUGUAAGUGCUGUGAAGCAUUAAGAUGACUAAUACUAAUAAUUCGAGAGACUUAAUAUA
rnacentral:rRNA from 1 species